AGUGAACGCUGGCGGUAGGCCUAACACAUGCAAGUCGAACGGCAGCACAGUAAGAGCUUGCUCUUACGGGUGGCGAGUGGCGGACGGGUGAGGAAUACAUCGGAAUCUACUUUUUCGUGGGGGAUAACGUAGGGAAACUUACGCUAAUACCGCAUACGACCUACGGGUGAAAGCAGGGGAUCUUCGGACCUUGCGCGAUUGAAUGAGCCGAUGUCGGAUUAGCUAGUUGGCGGGGUAAAGGCCCACCAAGGCGACGAUCCGUAGCUGGUCUGAGAGGAUGAUCAGCCACACUGGAACUGAGACACGGUCCAGACUCCUACGGGAGGCAGCAGUGGGAAAUAUUGGACAAUGGGCGCAAGCCUGAUCCAGCCAUACCGCGUGGGUGAAGAAGGCCUUCGGGUUGUAAAGCCCUUUUGUUGGGAAAGAAAAGCAGCAGGUUAAUACCCCGCUGUUCUGACGGUACCCAAAGAAUAAGCACCGGCUAACUUCGU
rnacentral:rRNA from 1 species